rfam:Gossypium hirsutum cultivar TM-1 chromosome 11, whole genome shotgun sequence
UGUUAAAAAAAUUCAUCUAUUUUUACGGUUAAAAAAAUAGCAUGGCUGACAUAAUAAUCAAAUAGUUACACGUGUAAUGCCACAUGUACCUCCUCCUAAUGUAAAAUGAUCGGUUUUUAAUAGUAGAAAUGGAUAAAAUUUUUAACA